AACGAACGCUGGCGGCAGGCCUAACACAUGCAAGUCGAGCGCACCUUCGGGUGAGCGGCGGACGGGUUAGUAACGCGUGGGAACGUACCCUUCACUGCGGAAUAGCCUCUGGAAACGGAGAGUAAUACCGCAUACGCCCUUCGGGGGAAAGAUUUAUCGGUGAAGGAUCGGCCCGCGUUAGAUUAGAUAGUUGGUGGGGUAAUGGCCUACCAAGUCUACGAUCUAUAGCUGGUUUGAGAGGAUGAUCAGCAACACUGGGACUGAGACACGGUCCAGACUCCUACGGGAGGCAGCAGUGGGAAAUAUUGGACAAUGGGCGCAAGCCUGAUCCAGCAACGCCGCGUGAGUGAUGAAGGCCUUAGGGUUGUAAAGCUCUGUCAGUUGGGACGAAAAAACAAAAGUUAAUACCUUUUGUAUUGACGGUACCUUCAAAGGAAGCACCGGCUAACUCCG
rnacentral:rRNA from 1 species